UCACCCAGAACCACAAGCUCAAAGAGCAGC
rnacentral:piRNA from 1 species